UUUGGCACUUGCACAUAUUUGCUUCUGUGAGUUCGGAUCCCAGCAAAUGUGCGCGGUGCCACGCG
rnacentral:pre_miRNA from 1 species